AGCCACAGCCAUAUCACCCUGCAGCCCAAGACCGGUUACUCACUGAAGCUAAGCAGGGCUGAGCCUGGUUAGUACCUGGAUGGGAGACCACUAGGGAGCACCAGGUUGCUGUUGGAA
rfam:Danio rerio chromosome 9 genomic contig CTG875, GRCz11 reference primary assembly.